GUAGGUGACUAGCGUUGUCCGGAUUUACUGGGCGUAAAGAGCGCGCAGGCGGUCGUGCAAGUCGAGUGUGAAAGCCCCCGGCUCAACUGGGGAGGGUCACUCGAUACUGCUCGACUCGAAGGCGGGAGAGGGAAGUGGAAUUCCCGGUGUAGUGGUGAAAUGCGUAGAUAUCGGGAGGAACACCAGUGGCGAAGGCGACUUCCUGGCCCGUUCUUGACGCUGAGGCGCGAAAGCUAGGGGAGCAAACGGGAUUAGAUACCCCGGUAGUCCUAGCUGUAAACGAUGGACACUAGGUGUUGGUGGUAUCAACCCCGCCAGUGCCGAAGCUAACGCAUUAAGUGUCCCGCCUGGGGAGUACGGCCGCAAGGCUA
rnacentral:rRNA from 1 species